CCUUUUGCCAAUCGCCUUGAGUUGAUCAUGGCUCAGGACGAACGCUGGCGGCGCGCCUAACACAUGCAAGUCGAGCGAGAACCAGGGCUUCGGCUCUGGGGACAGCGGCGAACGGGUGAGUAACACGUGGGUAAUCUGCCCUCGGCACCGGGAUAGCCCGGGGAAACCCGGAUUAAUACCGGAUGGCCUCUCGAGUUUUCGGACUCGAGCGAAAAGGUGGCUUCGGCUUCCGGCCGAGGAUGAGCCCGCGGCCGAUUAGCUUGUUGGUGGGGUAACGGCCCACCAAGGCAACGAUCGGUAGCUGGUCUGAGAGGACGAUCAGCCACACUGGGACUGAGACACGGCCCAGACUCCUACGGGAGGCAGCAGUGGGGAAUCUUGCGCAAUGGGCGAAAGCCUGACGCAGCGACGCCGCGUGCGGGAAGAAGGCCUUCGGGUUGUAAACCGCUUUCAGGAGGGACGAAGCCACUCGGGUUAAUAGCCUAGAGGGUGACGGUACCUCCAGAAGAAGCCCCGGCUAACUACGUGCCAGCAGCCGCGGUAAUACGUAGGGGGCUAGCGUUGUCCGGAUUUAUUGGGCGUAAAGAGCGUGUAGGCGGCCUGGCAAGUCCGACGUGAAAUCUGGAGGCUCAACCUCCAGCGGUCGUUGGAAACUGCUUGGCUAGAGUCCGGAAGAGGAGAGUGGAAUUCCUGGUGUAGCGGUGAAAUGCGCAGAUAUCAGGAAGAACACCGAU
rnacentral:rRNA from 1 species